CUUGGGCCCUCGAGACACGGCAGGAGGACUCGGCUCUCUCUGUACGGGACUGCCAGGACUGCAGUAUGCAAACGUAUGUGCAAAAGUGAUUAACAACCAGCUCUGAGCAGGGCCGAACGUCCCGGCACUCCCUUGGAGGUCUGAGAUUUCAGGACACUUUAAGCCCAACCCUGAUGCUGAAUAUUCCCGAGCAGGAAAACCAGCAGGAAAGAGGAAAUUACAGCAGGAAGGUCUCCUCCAGACCAUCUCAACCAACCAAAAGCAUCGUUUGUGGACCUCCACCAAUAAGCGGUUCCAGUGUCUCAACCAAUCACCAUCGUCUCAUCUAUAAACAUCACAGAUCAAACAGAAAUCACACGAGUGUGCUCCUUCUCUGUUACAUAAGACACACCUUCACGCCUGGAUCUGUGGGGUAAGAACUUGACUGAAGUUAUAAGGCUGCAGACUUCUUAAAAUGAUCCUUAGAGAUCUCCCACUGAAACGCACUAAAUGCACCAAUUUGGUGGUUUUGGGUAGCUUGACAAAUAAUGUAUAUGAACUUGAGUGAGAAUUUCAGAAUGUAUUAGUAUUUGGCUUGUCCUCCUUUUGCUUUAAGAACAGCAGCACUCGAGCUGCUUUGUGUCAAGCAUGAUGAUCAUGUUCUUCAGCUUGAUUUGAGAUG